GAUCUGCAUCAGGCAGGACCCAGAGUGAACCAUGGAAGCUCCAGCAUGGCUCCUUCUCCUCCUGUUACUCUGGCUUCCAGGUACCACUGGAGAAAUUGUGAUGACACAGACUCCAGCCACCUUGUCUUUGUCUCCAGGAGAAGAAGCCACCCUCACCUGCAAGGCCAGUCAGGGUAUUAGCAGCUACCUAGCCUGGUACCAGCAGAAACCUGGGCAGGCUCCUAGGCGCCUCAUCUAUGGUGCUUCCAGCAGAGCCACUGGUGUUCCAACCCGGUUCACUGGCAGUGGGUCAGGGACAGACUUUACAUUGAGAAUCAGCAGCCUGGAGCCGGAAGAUGUUGCAAUUUAUUAUUGUCAACAAGGUUACAGUGGGUUCCACUGUGAUUCAGUCCCCAACAAAAACCUCACCAGUCACAUCUGCCUUCACACUCCUCCUCCCCUGGGGUAUAAUUGCUUCCUCCAUAACUAA